rnacentral:tRNA from 1 species
GAGGGUGUAGCUCAGUGGUGGAGCACAUGCUUAGCAUGCACGAGGUCCUGGGUUCAAUCCCCAGCACCUCCA